rnacentral:rRNA from 1 species
UGGGGAAUAUUGGACAAUGGGGGGAACCCUGAUCCAGCCAUGCCGCGUGUGUGAAGAAGGCCUUAUGGUUGUAAAGCACUUUAAGCGAGGAGGAGGGUACUGGUAUUAAUACUACCAGCUACUGGACGUUACUCGCAGAAUAAGCACCGGCUAACUCUGUGCCAGCAGCCGCGGUAAUACAGAGGGUGCGAGCGUUAAUCGGAUUUACUGGGCGUAAAGCGUGCGUAGGCGGCUAAUUGAGUCGGAUGUGAAAUCCCCGAGCUUAACUUGGGAAUUGCAUUCGAUACUGGUUAGCUAGAGUGUGGGAGAGGAUGGUAGAAUUCCAGGUGUAGCGGUGAAAUGCGUAGAGAUCUGGAGGAAUACCGAUGGCGAAGGCAGCCAUCUCGCCUAACACUGACGCUGAGGUACGAAAGCAUGGGGAGCAAACAGG